rnacentral:lncRNA from 1 species
UAACAAAAUUUUUUCUCUCAUUUUCUCUCUUGCCAAACACCACUUUUUUUCUUCAAAACACAUAGUUGAUGCCAUUUUUUUUCUCUUAUUUUCUCUCUUACCAAACACCAUUUUUCUUUUUCAAAACAUAUGGUUGGCUCAUUUCAUCUACAAGAAUCUCCAUUACCAUGAUUAUAAUCAUGCUUUUGUGCAAUUUUUGUAAACCCACACCACACUUUCAACUUAAAAUCAUUGUUUUUUUCCCCACUGUCAGCUGCCAUUUUUUUCUCUCAUUUUCUCUCUUGCCAAACACCAUUUUUCUUUUUCAAAACACAAAAUUCUUGAACAUGUUCUGUCGUUCAUUGAUCUUCAUCUUCAAAAUUUUCAUUCUUGAACAUGAAGAUUGAUUAAACUUGAUGAUUGCUAAAGCUCAUCAAAUUAACACCCUGUUUCGAGAAAUACAAGGAAAUGGGAUUAUUGGAUUAACAAGCAUUAAAUAUUAAUGUUGUACUACUCUAUUUCAUGAUUUUAGUCUUUAGAUUCUCUUCAUGUGUGUAAUAAUAUUCAACGGGCGAAAGUCUUAUGCGAGAUUGUGGUACAUAGAACCACUCAGACUACCAUCUGCCAAAAUUGCUACCCUCAGGUACGAAUGGAGCUAACAAUUCACGCAUGCGUGUUGAGUUUCAUUUUAUAAAUAUUGUACUCUGUUUUAUAAACUUAUUGUCAAUUUGACCCUCACAUAGAAAUGAAGUUGGAAGGGAUGGGUACAAGGAAUGAAGUGGAAUGGAUUGGAUUGCUUGCAGUGCAGAAAAAGCUGAAAGAUUAACCAGUGUUCCACAGCCAUCAUUGUAAAUAGAUAUCGAAACAGGUUUCUUAAACUUGUGCAGCAUAUUAUUUCAUGAUAUUGUAAUUAUAGUGUAUCUUGUUUCCAUUAUGUUGGACAAAUUGGUUAAUCUGUAUAAAAAAAUGAUUUCGAUUUUCCCAUCAGCUGCUUUUAUCAUUGUUAGAUAGAAAGUAGUAAUAAAAUAGGAAAGUGAGGGAUGGGAACAGAAACAGGAUAGUAAAACAAGGAUGGUUUGGAGGUUAGGUAAUGAAGAAGAAAAUUGGUGUUUUGAAUUUAAGUUUAAAGUGUGGUGUGGGUUUACAAAAAUUGCACAAAAGUAUGAUUAUAAUCAUGGUAAUUGAGAUUCUUGUAGAGCCAACCAUAUGUUUUGAAAAAGAAAAAUGGUGCUUGGCAAGAGAGAAAAUGAGAGAAAAAGAUUUGUUAAAUAGAUGACUUCAUUUAUGACAUCGUGUGCUUAUGUGGCAUGUCACAUGGGCUACUAUAUUGACCUACAAUUUGAUUAAAGGUCAACUCACAUUGACCGUUAAAAGUGGGCUGAUUUUUGAAAAAAUCGUAACGUUGAGGGUGUCAAUCAAAAAAUAAAAAGGUUAAGGGCACAAAACCAAAAGCCCCCAAACGUUGAGGGUUUUUUUUGCAAUUAUGCUAAUCUUAAUCUAUCUUAUUUAAUUAUUUACUCAAAUAUUCAAAUUAAAACAAACCAACUUGAAUUCAAUUAAAUACUUACAUCUCUUUUAGCCAAAACCUCACUUUCUUUGCUUUUGUUCUCUUCCUUUCUCAUUCUCAUCGCAAUCUUUCACUUUUCUUCCAACUUUCUUUUCUUCUAAUUUCUUACUUCUUGCCUCUAAGAUGUUAUACAAACUCUUCUAGACCUGGACUUCAUCUUACCUCUUUGGUGGCUAUGAAAAUUUUCAAGGUUUUGGAGUGAAAUAG